CCUACGGGUGACAGCAGUGAGGAAUAUUGGUCAAUGGACGAGAGUCUGAACCAGCCAAGUAGCGUGAAGGAUGACUGCCCUAUGGGUUGUAAACUUCUUUUAUAUGGGAAUAAAACGUUCCACGUGUGGGAUUUUGUAUGUACUAUAUGAAUAAGGAUCGGCUAACUCCGUGCCAGCAGCCGCGGUAAUAAGGAGGAUCCGAGCGUUAUCCGGAUUUAUUGGGUUUAAAGGGAGCGUAGGUGGGUUGUUAAGUCAGUUGUGAAAGUUUGCGGCUCAACCGUAAAAUUGCAAGUGAGACUGGCAGUCUGGAGUACAGUAGAGGUAAGCGGAAUUAGUGGUGGAGAGGGGAAAUGCUUAGAGAUCAGGAGGAACACCGAUUGCGAAGGCAGCUGACGAAACUGUGACUGACAUUGAGGCUCGAAAGUGUGGGGAGCAAACAGGAAUAGAUACCCUAGUAGUC
rnacentral:rRNA from 1 species